UACGUAGGGUGCAAGCGUUGUCCGGAAUUAUUGGGCGUAAAGAGCUCGUAGGCGGUUUGUCGCGUCGAAUGUGAAAACCCGGGGCUCAACCCCGGGCCUGCAUUCGAUACGGGCAGACUAGAGUUCGGUAGGGGAGUCUGGAAUUCCUGGUGUAGCGGUGAAAUGCGCAGAUAUCAGGAGGAACACCGGUGGCGAAGGCGGUGAUCUGGGCCGGCACUGACGCUGAGGAGCGAAAGCGUGGGUAGCAAACAGG
rnacentral:rRNA from 1 species